AAUAUACAUACAUUCAAAAGAAAUUAAGUGUAAGCGCACACAGCUGCUUCUUUUUUUGCCGAUGCGUAAUCGCAAUCGCACAAAAUUCAAAGAAAUGGCGCACAAGAAAUACGAAAUUAUGAGAACCAGCACAAAAGAAUAUCCCAAAUUAUGUACAAGAAGAAGAGCUUAUUCAUGUCGGUGCCAGCGAGGGGGAAGAAGGGAUAAUGGCAGGGGCAAAAUUCGAAAAAAUUCCAAAAGUUUUUGCGUCAUUUUCCAGCUUUUGGCAUUUAUUGCGAAUAUAACGCGCGGCUUGAGAUUGAUUUGCAAAUGGUACAGUGGUCACGGGGUCUUGGAAAACAAAACGGGUUGUCAGACCUAUUGGACUGUGGGUCCUGUUGGGCACAUCUGGUUUGAAACCACGACUGUAUUGGAUUUAUUCGAUGCGGGGCAGCAUUCACUCACAACUUAUACUGAACCCAGAGCGGAGAGACACUUGUAGAGCACGGGAGCGGGCACGGCACAGGUAGAUAUGUCACUCUAUUAACGGAAAUUCGUCACCUCGCAUCGACAUACCUUGAACCAGCGCAGAAACGAGAACAAGCUGCGCUCACGAACACGAAAAAACACACACACACACACGAAGACACGGUCGCGAGCGAGCACAAAUUUACGCUUAUUAUGUGUGUGCUGAGAAGUUUUUCAAGAAAAAGAACAAGUGAAUUAAAUUUCCCAAUUAUAUCCAUAUUGAAAUUGAAUAAAAGCCAAUUGACAACUCA